rnacentral:lncRNA from 1 species
UGGGUUAAUGGGAAUUGGAAUGUCGAGAGCUCUAAGAACUGUCAAAAGCCAUGAUUAUAGUUGAGUUUUUGGUUGAGCUUGUUUUGAGGAAAGACAAGUUCAAGUAUUCUAUGUCCAAUGGGAAGAGAAAUGGUGGGGGAGAUCAUAAGGAAGAUGAAGAGAAACAUAGUGAUAAUGUAAAUGGAAACAAUGGUAAUGG